AUUUCGCACGUCUAUUCUUUUCUUUCACGUAUUUCACCAAGUUCACGCAUUUCCCUGUGAAAAAAAAUGCAUCUUUCUAUUUCUUGUCACCCGCUUAGGUUUAGCUUGUUCCAAUACCAAGGCGACUCCACAAAAUGGUAGCUACUACGGCACUUCUCCACAAACCCACCUUCAAACUUUCUCUCUCUUAUCCUUCUAACCUCCGUACCUUCAAACCCACUCUGCUUCUACGACUUCCAGCUUCAAGAUCUGUUUUCUUUGGUGCGUUUGGUUCCAAGAAAGGCGUGUCGAAGACCUCCAUGACUGAGCUGUUCAAAACUUCUGCUUUUAGGGAUGAUGAUGGUGAGAAAAAUGUCAGAAUGUUUCAACAAGAAGCUUUAGUAAAGGAACCCUCUAAGUUUUCUUCCGAAUUGACGGCUGAGGGAUUGGAACGCACUCUCAAUCGUUUGAGCAAGUGGUUUGUAUCUUUCUUGUUUGGUGCUGUCAUUCUUUGGAGGCAUGAUGCUGAGUCCAUGUGGAUUGCUAUGGGGUCUGUAUUAAAUGCUAUCCUUUCAGUAACACUCAAACGGAUAUUCAAUCAAGAGAGACCUUUUCCAUCGGCAAAUUCUGAUCCCGGGAUGCCAUCUUCACAUGCACAAUCUAUCUUCUACACUGUUGUGUUUUGCAUUCUUUCAAUUACAGAAUGGUUUGGAGUAAAUGAAUUUACCUUGAUCAUAAAUGCACUCACCUUGGUAUUUGGCUCAUAUUUUUAAAGUGAGAAUGGACUGGUUGCUGAUGCUUAUCUGUGUCAUCUGUUUUUGUAGUCAUGGCUAUCAUGGCUACGGGUAUCACAACGAUAUCAUACAACCAGCCAAGUUGUGGUUGGUGCUGCUGUUGGGUCCCUAUUCUCAUUUUUGUGGUAUUGGUCAUGGCAAUCCAUUGUGCUGGAAGCAUUUGUUUCCUCCUUGACAGUUCGAAUAAUUGUCAUUCUGGCAGCUUCUACAUUCUGCCUAGGCUUUCUUUUAUAUGUGAUUCGCCAUUGGCUUAAGGAUGAAGAAUGAAAUUAUUUUAUGGGGAUAAAGGUAACUGCAAGCUGACUGAAUUCCUUUUUGGAAUUACAUUAUGGAAUCACAUUUGUUGUUUCUGAUUCAGUACAGUCAACUGGGUUUUGCCAUGAGGCUCAAUAGAAUCCUCUGUCAUGAGAUGCUGAAUACUUGGUGGUUGAUCAGAUUAGCUUUCUUCCUUUUUCCUUGCUUUGAGACUUAAAUUAUUUGGUGGUUGAUCAAAUCAAAUCUGAU
rnacentral:misc_RNA from 1 species